rnacentral:rRNA from 1 species
CUAGGAUUAGAUACCCUAUUUUUAAAAUUUAAAAACUAAAGUAUUAAUAGUUAUGUGCUUUAAAUUUAAAAAAUUUGGCGGUAUUUUAGUCUGUUCAGAGGAACCUGUUUUAUAAUCGAUAUUCCACGUUGGACCUUACUUUAAUUUAUAAAUUAGUUUAUAUACCGUCGUUAUAAAAAAUUUUAUAAGAAUAAUAAUUUUUAAAAUUAAAUAUCAGAUCAAGGUGUAGCUUAUCUUAAAGAAAAUAAUGGGUUACAAUAAAUUUAUUUAUAUGGAAAUAAAUAUGAAAAAUUUAUAAAAAGUGGAUUUGAAAGUAAAAUUAUAUAGAUUAAUAAUUUGAUUUUAGCUCUAAAAUAU